GUACCCGCGCACACAAAUGCAACUAAACUAUCGUGUCGCAGUAGGCGCGCGCACACGACACAACAAUUGUUUAGUCGCAUCAUGGAUUCUGUCGGGGUAGCUGCGGUAUGUGCUCUCGAGUUAAAAGGACGCAAGCAAAUAAAAAAAAUAAGAAGAAAUAUUGCGUGAAUUACGGUCGUACCCAGAUAAAUCCUUUAAUUUUUACCGUACGAGUGUUUAAAAGUUUUGACGAUCAUUUAAAUUCGAUACGGCCAUUCAUCACUAAUCAAGGUACAAUGUGGAGAAAGGCAAUCGCUCCUGCAGAAAGGCUUUCGGUUACCUUAAGGUGAGGAAAUAAUGUUUAAUUAUAAAGAAUAACAAUGAAUUAAAAUUUGUAUCGAUUAGUACGAUUAAAUUCUCACUUUCAAUAGUUUCAACAGUACUUUUAAGAAAAACUCAAUACUCAAAGACUAAAUUCGCGGACUGCUGAAAUUAUAAUGCGGACAUAUCUUCAAAAUCAAACCGGGGCGCAGUGGAUUCGUAGCGCAAUCGUAGUAUUUAUCGACCGGGUCGCCGAAACUUGUUCAUACCGCGUCCGGCGGCGGUUUUGUCAAUAACCCCCCCCCCAGAGACCAACAGUCUUGUACGACACACGAGACGUUUACUAUAAUUCCGUAUCGUUACCUAGUCAAAUUUUGUUAAAUAUUAAUAAUCUACGCGCCCACAGCUCUCCGCGUUCGCAAUUAUCGGCGUGUGGCCACUACUGAACCGGCAAUUUUCGACAAUGCGCAGCGCAAUACCGUAAUACACGGUAAUAAUGACAACGGCGGUUAUCGAUGUCGGUCCGGGUGGCGCCUCUAUACCGACACCGACGUAACACUGUGCCGUCGCCGAUAUCCUGCGAAAUGAUCGUGUCGAUAACCGUGCGCAAUCCGGCGGUAUACCUGUACCGUUGUUGUUUGACAGGCAUUCGGGAAAAACUGUACGACGCAAUUGAUCCGCGCCGUUAACGGCGUUAACGAUUCAUUAUCCGUUUGUUCGUGUUAUCGCUGUUAACGAAACGCCGAACAGUCGCGCGCCCGACGGAACAGUUCCCGUAACAGGCCACCGCGUUGCCGUCGCGCGUCGUGGAAAAUACCCCGUGGCGAUUACGACUUUCGGCCGUUCGCGCAAUGCGAUUGUCGCGCCGUGGCUCUACACGCUUCGCUCUCGUCGGCCGUUUGUUGCGCGCGGUCUCGUUUGUUUCUUCUUUUUUUUCCCUUCCGAAACCCGCCCGCACGCACACACGAUCGCGUCCGGCAAACGUCUUGUGAAUUACCGUGCCCGUUGUCAUUUUGGCCGACCGGAGUUACGCGACGGCCGGGCCCCGCGAUUCCGACUGCUAUUACUCGUCGGACGAAUGCGGCGAUCCCGUUUCGUGGCACCGUCGGCUUCCCGACCCGGCCCAACGGCACGGGGCCACGUGCGCGAGAACGGCGGCCAACGGCCCGUAAACCUUUUGGGAAAAUGCGCGGGGACGGUAUCGCGUGCGCGCGUAUUUUCGGGGGUUCGGUGUCGAAUGGCGAGCUGGGCACCGCGGCCCGUGUAUUUUGUUUUUAACGUAACGGCGCGCGUCAUUAUUCGUUGUCCCGAACGACAAGCAAUCGUCUCGCGGACGUUAUCAUACGGUCGAACCGCGCAUAAAACCGUAAUUGUAAAACCAAUGCAUAAAAUGUAUUACGAAUGGGAUGCGUUGUUAUGUUUUUAGGUUCAUGUACAAUACUCACGUGACCUUCAAUUACAUAAUGGACGACCGCCCGGACAAGGCGUUGGAUAUGGUCGAAGAGACCGAACGAAUGUUAUCGGCACGGUCGAAUGAUUUUUCGGACUCCCGUAAAAUCAGCGUCGGUCCACAUCACGUUGACCACCAAAGGAUACAUAUUGAUCAAUUUCGAUUUGAGUACUGUAGUACGUGUUUUACAUGCGAUAUUAUAUUACUAUUGUUUAUUGAAUGUAUUAUUUAUCUGAAUAAAUUGCGUAGACG